rnacentral:rRNA from 1 species
ACCAUGCAGUCGAACGGGAUCCAGGCAGCUUGCUGUCUGGUGAGAGUGGCGAACGGGUGAGUAAUGCGUGACCAACCUGCCCCAUACUCCGGAAUAGCUCCUGGAAACGGGUGGUAAUGCCGGGUGUUCCGCAUCAUCGCAUGAUGGUGUGGGAAAGGGUUUACCGGUAUGGGAUGGGGUCGCGUCCUAUCAGCUUGUUGGUGGGGUGAUGGCCUACCAAGGCUUCGACGGGUAGCCGGCCUGAGAGGGCGACCGGCCACAUUGGGACUGAGAUACGGCCCAGACUCCUACGGGAGGCAGCAGUGGGGAAUAUUGCACAAUGGGCGAAAGCCUGAUGCAGCGACGCCGCGUGCGGGAUGACGGCCUUCGGGUUGUAAACCGCUUUUGAUUGGGAGCAAGCGAGAGUGAGUGUACCUUUCGAAUAAGCACCGGCUAACUACGUGCCAGCAGCCGCGGUAAUACGUAGGGUGCAAGCGUUAUCCGGAAUUAUUGGGCGUAAAGAGCUCGUAGGCGGUUCGUCGCGUCUGGUGUGAAAGUCCAUCGCUUAACGGUGGAUCUGCGCCGGGUACGGGCGGACUGGAGUGCGGUAGGGGAGACUGGAAUUCCCGGUGUAACGGUGGAAUGUGUAGAUAUCGGGAAGAACACCAAUGGCGAAGGCAGGUCUCUGGGCCGUUACUGACGCUGAGGAGCGAAAGCGUGGGGAGCGAACAGGAUUAGAUACCCUGGUAGUCCACGCCGUAAACGGUGGAUGCUGGAUGUGGGGCCCGUUCCACGGGUUCCGUGUCGGAGCUAACGCGUUAAGCAUCCCGCCUGGGGAGUACGGCCGCAAGGCUAAAACUCAAAGAAAUUGACGGGGGCCCGCACAAGCGGCGGAGCAUGCGGAUUAAUUCGAUGCAACGCGAAGAACCUUACCUGGGCUUGACAUGUGCCGGACGACCGCGGAGACGUGGUUUCCCUUCGGGGCCGGUUCACAGGUGGUGCAUGGUCGUCGUCAGCUCGUGUCGUGAGAUGUUGGGUCAAGUCCCGCAACGAGCGCACCCUCGCCUCGUGUUGCCAGCGGGUCAUGCCGGGAACUC